UCCCUGGUAGUCUAGGGCCAAGACUCCACAUUCCCAAUGUAGGGGACCUGGGUUCAAUCCCUUGUCAGGCAA
rnacentral:tRNA from 1 species